rnacentral:rRNA from 1 species
UUACGACUUAAAUAAUUAAUCAGAGCAAUACAAGCUACAGCUUAAAACCUAAAACCUAUGGCGGUAUCUUAUAUACUCAGGGGAACCUGUUCCUUAAUUCGAUAGUCCACGCACUUCUAACCUAAUAUUGAAAUUACAGCAUGUAUACUACUGUCGCCAGUAAACCUAUAAAAGAAAGUUUACAACUAUAAUUAAAUAAAUACGUCAAGUCAAAGUGCAGCCAAUUAUUAGGAGUUUAAUGGGUUACAAUCUAAAUAUAAAGACACAGACGUAAAAAUCAAAUACUUACAGAAGGUGGACUUGAUAGUAAUUACUACAUAAUAAUGUUAUAAACAAAAAAUUAAGAUAUGCACACAUCGCCCGUCGCUCUUGUUCACAAAACU